GACGAACGCUGGCGGCGUGCUUAACACAUGCAAGUCGAACGGAAAGGCCCUGCUUGCAGGGUACUCGAGUGGGGAACGGGUGAGUAACCCGUGGGUGAUCUGCCCUGCACUUGGGGAUAAGCCUGGAAAACUGGGUCUAAUACCGGAAAGGAGCCAUUUUUAGGGUGAUGGUGGGAAAGUUUUUUCGGUGUAGGAUGAGCUCGCGGCCUAUCAGCUUGUUGGUGGGGUAAUGGCCUACCAAGGCGGCGACGGGUAGCCGGCCUGAGAGGGUGGACGGCCACAUUGGGACUGAGAUACGGCCCAGACUCCUACGGGAGGCAGCAGUGGGGAAUAUUGCACAAUGGGCGCAAGCCUGAUGCAGCGACGCCGCGUGGGGGAUGACGGCCUUCGGGUUGUAAACUCCUUUCGCUAGGGACGAAGCUUUUGUGACGGUACCUAGAUAAGAAGCACCGGCUAACUACGUG
rnacentral:rRNA from 1 species